rnacentral:rRNA from 2 species
AACUUUCAACAACGGAUCUCUUGGUUCCGGCAUCGAUGAAGAACGCAGCGAAAUGCGAUACGUAAUGUGAAUUGCAGAAUUCAGUGAAUCAUCGAGUCUUUGAACGCACAUUGCGCCCCCUGGUAUUCCGGGGGGCAUGCCUGUCCGAGCGUCA